rfam:Triticum aestivum genome assembly, contig: Triticum_aestivum_CS42_TGACv1_scaffold_514607_6BS
UACGUACUCCCUCCGUCCGAAAAUACUUGUCAUCAAAAUGAACAAAAUGGAAUGUAUCUAAAACUAAAAUACAUCUAGAUACAUCCUCUUUGUAUUUCCGGACGGAGGGAGUAUAUG